UAGCCUAAAGGUUAAGGCUAUGGAUCACCAAUCCGGAGACGGCGGGUUCAAUUCCCGU
rnacentral:tRNA from 1 species